rnacentral:rRNA from 1 species
AAGCCGGUGGUGGAGCGGCGCAAGGCUCAGUAACGGGCGACUGAUUUGAUCUCCCGGUGUGGACAACCUCUGUAACCGGAGGCCAAAACACAGGAGGCGCGUGACACGGGCACGGGCGUGCAACCGGCAGGUGCGGGAGAGUAAGGAGCCAUCCCAUCAGUUAGUAAGUAGGGUAAGGGCCUACUUAGACGAAGACGGGUACGGGGAAUUAGAGUUCGAUUCCGGAGAGGGAGCCUGAGAGACGGCUACCAGGUCCAAGGACAGCAGCAGGCGCGGAAAUUACCGAAGCCCGCGUCCGGGGCGGUAGUAAGGAGACGUGAAUACGAUGUGCAGGUAAAAUAUGCACUGGUAACAGGAGGUCAAGACUGGUGCCAGCAGCCGCGG